GGCCCAAUCCUUCCACCCCAUUCAAAGAAGCCGUUCGUCCUCUCUCUUACCCAGAAAUCCGCCCCCUUCUCCCCCAAGAUACGUUCGUCUCUCUCUCUCCCGAACUCACGGCCGCCGCAGCCCAUCUCUGACGAAGAGCGCCGUCUCUGGUCAUCGUCACCAUCACCCUCGACUGAUCGGAACCCUAGUCCCUCUAUUCUCCUCUCUUCCGGCGACUACAGCAGCGACGAGCCGCUGCUGCGCCUGAACCCUAGCCACCCCAAUCCAGUCGCCCUUAGCCUCCUCUCUUCUCUCCCUCCGUCCGUGGCCGAGCGACAGCGGCAGGGCCGCCGCGCCCUGGCCUCCCUCUGCGAAAACCUAGCCUAAUCUAGCCUCCGCCCCAACCCUUUGUUCUCUCCUUCUCCGACAACAGCCAAGGUCAAGACUCACACACACAACCAUCGAAGCAGACGCCCAUCUCCCUCUACCCUCUGCUCACUCCGACCGGCGGACAACAGUGGCGCCAAGCCACCACCUCCGCCUCCCUGACUCCGACCGACAGCAGUAGAUGGAGCAGACUGCCGCCGCCGUCCUGACCUCCCUCCACCUCUCGACUCUAAACCACAACGAGGAAGAAACCUGUAGAGAAAUGGGGAAGAUUGAGGCAAGGAUUACCUUGGAUGCUUGCAGAAAUGAGUGAAGUUCUCCUGCUCUCCUUGUGGAGUUAGUGUAGAAUGGUGAAGGAAGUUGCUAGCUGAUUUGGUUUAAAAGGGGUUUAAAAGGGGAUAUUGGCAGCUACCUCUCCUAUGACAAGCAAGAAGGAGGGGCUGCAGGUGGAGUGUAGGGUGGCUGAGUUGACAAGCUAGUGUACUAUGAGCUUGACUUUGCUUGAAAGGAAAAAGGGAGGUGCAGGCUAAGGGUGGCAGCGGAUGGAUGAAGAUUUGGGGAUAUCUUUUGUACUAACACAUGCGUGUAUGUGUAUGUAUGAAUAAGUAUAUAUGUAUUGCUUUCAUACUUUAUGCAAUAGUGUAGGCUUGAGUAGUAAAAUUAUAAUAUGAAUGUAAUUAAAUCCUUUGUAUAUCUGUAAAAGAGAUUCUUUUCGGUUUUGCUAGUUAAUAAGCUCACCGUAUUCUCAAA